GUUGAACGCAGAUGAAAAGUCAACGAAGAACAUUGUUCGUAUAUAUUCAAACAUAGCAAAGUUAUUCAAUAAAUAAAUUAAAAAGUGAAAAAUUGAGUUAUUCA